rnacentral:rRNA from 1 species
UACAGAGGUCUCAAGCGUUGUUCGGAUUCAUUGGGCGUAAAGGGUGCGUAGGCGGCGCGGUAAGUCGGGUGUGAAAUCUCGGGGCUUAACUCCGAAACUGCAUUCGAUACUGCCGUGCUUGAGGACUGGAGAGGAGACUGGAAUUUACGGUGUAGCGGUGAAAUGCGUAGAUAUCGUAAGGAAGACCAGUGGCGAAGGCGGGUUGCUGGGCCGACACUGACGCUGAUGCGCGAAAGCCAGGGGAGCGAACG